rnacentral:rRNA from 1 species
UACAGAGGUCCCGAGCGUUGUUCGGAUUCACUGGGCGUAAAGGGUGCGCAGGUGGGUUGGCAAGUUCGAUGUGAAAGCCCCGGGCUUAACCCGGGAAUGGCAUUGGAAACUGCUGAUCUGGAGGAUCGGAGGGGGGACUGGAAUUCUUGGUGUAGCGGUGAAAUGCGUAGAUAUCAAGAGGAACACCUGCGGCGAAGGCGGGUUGCUGGGCCGACACUGACGCUGAGGCGCGAAAGCCAGGGGAGCGAACGGG